UACGUAGGGUGCGAGCGUUGUCCGGAAUUAUUGGGCGUAAAGAGCUCGUAGGCGGUUUGUCGCGUCUGCUGUGAAAAUCCAGGGCUUAACCCUGGACCUGCAGUGGGUACGGGCAGACUAGAGUGCGGUAGGGGAGAUCGGAAUUCCUGGUGUAGCGGUGAAAUGCGUAGAGAUCAGGAAGAACACCGGUGGCGAAAGCGUUCUGCUAGACCUGUACUGACACUGAGGGACGAAAGCUAGGGGAGCGAAUGGG
rnacentral:rRNA from 1 species